GGAUGUGAGGGCGAUCUGGCUGCGACAUCUGUCACCCCAUUGAUCGCCAGGGUUGAUUCGGCUGAUCUGGCUGGCUAGGCGGGUGUCCCCUUCCUCCCUCACCGCUCCAUGUGCGUCCCUCCCGAAGCUGUGCGCUCGGUGGAAGAAGACGACCAUCCCCGAUAGAGGAGGACCGUUCUUCGGUCAAGGGUAUACGAGUAGCUGCGCUCCCCUGCUAGAACCUCCAAACAAGCUCUCAGAUGUGCUUGCACCCAUGUCUGGGUUGUAUACGUUUCUAUCAUUGCUUGCUUUACUAAUUAACCUUUUUGUU
rnacentral:sRNA from 1 species